GACUGGUGCUCCCUGUGAGGCAGAGCUGGAAAGUCUCCCCAUGAGCUUCCAAUGUAAAAUUGAAGUCUUGAAUACUCCCUGGCCAUGAAUUGAGCCCCUGAGUGCACAGUGACUGAAUAUUCAUUUUGUCCUUUCUUCAAAAAAAUACUUAGAAUUUAAGGUACAAGAAUAGCUCCAUUCAUGAGCUGCAAUGUGAGACAAGACUCUGUUGCCAGUGCCAUAUCUACAUUUCUUAAUAAGAAGCGAACAAAGCUGAUGUAUUACAGUGUAUAAAAAUAAUGAAAAAAGAAAACCAGAGAGAGAAAUUACCUUUUUUUCAUGAAGUGACAUGGGUUGAUUAUAAGCAUACACAUUAUUUCUCUUUGUUGUUCACUUUAUUGUGCAGUCUGAGAGAAUAAGGAAGCCAUGUGCACCUGUAUGGCUGGAUGAUAUUAGGGUUUCAACAUUUGGAACAACAGAUACUUAGGGUCAUUUGUACAGCUCAUCUUCUAAAACCUCUCUGCUAAUACUCAAGAAGGAUAUUACUGGAAUCCCAAGCUCCUUGCUAUUUUACAGAGUUGAAUCUGGACACAUGAAAUACGAAUUCAGCAACGUGUGCUGCCAGACAGCAUUGGGAAUGGACUGGGAACUGACUGUUUAGACUCAUGUGUAUGUGUGUGUGUAUAUCUGCAAGACAUGCAUAAACUACUCAAAUGCAGAUGUGUAAAUUUUACCAUUAAGUGUUUGCAUUUCUUUGCUUCACCAUUUCUUUUUAUUUUGCUUCAUUUAGCAUAGAUUAUCUCUGUAAAUCUGGCCACUAGUCAAUUACUCAAUUCCUUUUCAAAGGAAAUAAUAAGAAAGAUUACAAAAUUUAUGAGACUAGCAUAAAUCACAGUAUCUUCCCCACCUGAGAAUCUGACUCUAUAAAGCUAGUUACUUUCUUAUUUAUAAAGGUAAUUAUUCUAUUAAAAUUAAUAGUAAAAUGAAUACUGCUGUGACUGAAUUACAUGGGAUAAGCGUGAAAUACUGUGAUCUGUUCUGCUAUGAAUUAGUAAUUAUAGUGUGCUCAGUUAAAUUUG